rnacentral:rRNA from 1 species
UGGAUAGGGGUUCUGAGAGGAAGGUCCCCCACAUUGGAACUGAGCCAGGAUCAAACUCUUACGGGAGGCAGCAGUGAGGAAUAUUGGUCAAUGGGCGAGAGCCUGAACCAGCCAAGUAGCGUGAAGGAUGACUGCCUAUGGGUUGUAAACUUCUUUUAUAAAGGAAUAAGUCGGGUAUGGAUACCCGUUUGCAUGUACUUUAUGAAUAAGGAUCGGCUAACUCCGUGCCAGCAGCCGCGGUAAUACGGAGGAUUCGAGCGUUAUCCGGAUUUAUUGGGUUUAAAGGGAGCGUAGAUGGAUGUUUAAGUCAGUUGUGAAAGUUUGCGGCUCAACCGUAAAAUUGCAGUUGAUACUGGAUAUCUUGAGUGCAGUUGAGGCAGGCGGAAUUCGUGGUGUAGCGGUGAAAUGCUUAGAUAUCACGAAGAACUCCGAUUGCGAAGGCAGCCUGCUAAGCUGCAACUGACAUUGAGGCUCGAAAGUG